rnacentral:rRNA from 1 species
GACGAACGCUGGCGGCGUGCUUAACACAUGCAAGUCGAACGGUGAUGCUCCAGCUUGCUGGAGUGGAUCAGUGGCGAACGGGUGAGUAACACGUGAGCAACCUGCCCCAGACUCUGGAAUAAGCGCUGGAAACGGCGUCUAAUACUGGAUACGAAACUGGCCCGCAUGGGCAUGGUUUGGAAAGUUGUUCGGUUUGGGAUGGGCUCGCGGCCUAUCAGCUUGUUGGUGAGGUAAUGGCUCACCAAGGCGACGACGGGUAGCCGGCCUGAGAGGGCGACCGGCCACACUGGGACUGAGACACGGCCCAGACUCCUACGGGAGGCAGCAGUGGGGAAUAUUGCACAAUGGGCGAAAGCCUGAUGCAGCGACGCCGCGUGAGGGAUGACGGCCUUCGGGUUGUAAACCUCUUUCAGCAGGGAAGAAGCGAAAGUGACGGUACCUGCAGAAGAAGCACCGGCUAACUACGUG